ensembl:snRNA U6 U6 spliceosomal RNA
GUGCUCACUUCAGUAGCACAUAUACUAAAAUUUGGGACAAUACAGGGAAGAUUAGCAUGGCCCCUAUGCAAGGAUGACACACAAAUUUGUGAAGUGUUCCAUAUUUUU